rnacentral:rRNA from 1 species
CAGCCGCCGCGGGAACACGGAGGGGGCUAGCGUUGUUCGGAAUUACUGGGCGUAAAGCGCACGUAGGCUGCUUUGUAAGUUAGAGGUGAAAGCCUGGUGCUCAACACCAGAACUGCCUUUAAGACUGCAGAGCUAGAACGUCGGAGAGGUGAGUGGAAUUCCGAGUGUAGAGGUGAAAUUCGUAGAUAUUCGGAAGAACACCAGUGGCGAAGGCGGCUCACUGGACGACUGUUGACGCUGAGGUGCGAAAGCGUGGGGAGCAAACAGGAUUAGAUACCCGGGUAGUCCCUGUCUCUUAUAC